GACGAACGCUGGCGGCGUGCCUAAUACAUGCAAGUCGAACGCACUCUCGUUUAGAUUGAAGGAGCUUGCUCCUGAUUGAUAAACAUUUGAGUGAGUGGCGGACGGGUGAGUAACACGUGGGUAACCUGCCCUAAAGUGGGGGAUAACAUUUGGAAACAGAUGCUAAUACCGCAUAAAACCUAACACCGCAUGGUGUAGGGUUGAAAGAUGGUUUCGGCUAUCACUUUAGGAUGGACCCGCGGUGCAUUAGUUAGUUGGUGAGGUAAAGGCUCACCAAGACCGUGAUGCAUAGCCGACCUGAGAGGGUAAUCGGCCACACUGGGACUGAGACACGGCCCAGACUCCUACGGGAGGCAGCAGUAGGGAAUCUUCCACAAUGGACGAAAGUCUGAUGGAGCAACGCCGCGUGAGUGAAGAAGGUUUUCGGAUCGUAAAACUCUGUUGUUGGAGAGAAUGUAUCUGAUAGUAACUGAUCAGGUAGUG
rnacentral:rRNA from 1 species